AUUGAACGCUGGCGGCAGGCCUAACACAUGCAAGUCGAACGAGUGGCGGACGGGUGAGUAAUGUCUGGGAAACUGCCCGAUGGAGGGGGAUCACUACUGGAAACGUUAGCUAAUACCGCAUACCAUCGGAUGUGCCCAGAUGGGAUUAGCUAGUAGGGUGGGUAAAGGCUCACCUAGGCGACGAGCCCUAGAUGGUCUGCGAGGAUGACCAGACACACUGGAACUGAGACACGGUCCAGACUCCUACGUGAGGCAGCGGUGGGGAAUAUUGCACAAUGGGCGCAAGCCUGAUGCAGCCAUGCCGCGUGUAUGAAGAAGGCCUUCGGGUUGUAAAGUACUUUCAGCGGGGAGGCGUUACCCGCAGAAGAAGCACCGGCGAACUCCGUGCCAGCAGCCGCGGUAAUUC
rnacentral:rRNA from 1 species